AAACUUUCAACAACGGAUCUCUUGGCUCCAGCAUCGAUGAAGAACGCAGCGAAACGCGAUAUGUAAUGUGAAUUGCAGAAUUCAGUGAAUCAUCGAAUCUUUGAACGCACAUGGCGCCUUCCAGUAUCCUGGGAGGCAUGCCUGUCCGAGCGUCGUUUCAACCCUCGAGCCCCCGUGGCCCGGCGUUGGGG
rnacentral:rRNA from 4 species